AGUUGCAAAUAUUGUGGUGGAAUUACAAGCUGUCUUGUCAUCCGAAAUUUGUGGUUGA
rnacentral:pre_miRNA from 1 species